UUUCAACCAUAACUAUGUAAUGCUUUACAUUAGUUUAUGUGCCUAUGACAGAUGAAACGUCAUUUCAUGGGAAAUCUCCACAGCGCUUGUUUCUCUCCCUCACAAUCAGAUCUGGGAAGCCAAGGGCACACCGCCGGUCACCCCUUUUCCGGUGUUCUUCUUCUCCUUCUUAUGUAUCUUCUGUUCGCCCUCUCACUUCGUCUUUGGUUGGUAUGCUCGUUGUUCUAGGUUUGUCUCAGACUCCUGUGAGUUUUCUUAGUGGUGGCUCUGUUUGGAUAGCGUCGGUCUCCUCUGAGGGACGGCGAUUCUGGUUUUGUGCGGUUCGAGCUGUUGGGUUUUGUUCAUGAGUGAUGACGGCUAGGGUUUCCGCUUGGCCAGAUCUUUGUUUCCGGGAGUGAUAUCAGGCGUAUCUCACUAAUCUACGACAUCUAACUCAGGUUUGUAGUGGUCUUCACUCACUUCUUCUCGGAUUGAAGGGUCUUGGCUCGGGUUUUUUGACGAAGUUUUAAGAGAUAUUUUGACGGCGCUGGUUGAUGGCAUUGUAAGGGUUGUCGUUUUCAGAUUUCAAUCGGGUCUUUAUCAUUUUGCUAUAUUCGGAUCAGUUCCUUGGAGGUGUUGAUGAGUUAGGCCACUGCGUGCAUCUCUCUAUUUAGAUCUACCAGUUGGUGUGGUAUUAGUCAUUGGUUUAAGGCUCUGGUAGGGAGUAGAGAGAAUGGGUCUCAGUCUUAUCAACUUUGAUCAUCGUUCCUCAUUGGCAGCGUGUUUAGGUCUCAUGUCAUUGGAGUUUUUGCGGUAGGUUGUUAUUGACCUAUUUGGGCUUUAUGAGAUGCUGGAUGGAAGCAUCUCCUCUUUGUGAAUUCUCAUUGGUGUGGUGAGCGUAGUCAUCAUCCUCUGAAGAAAGAAGAGCUUUAGUAACUGGCCAAGACAGAGGAGAUCUCUAGGUAGUAGGUAUGGUCGGUGGGGAAAAAAUUGAACAAUUGUCUUGAUCUGAAUCAUGUGGUGGAUUUCCUCGGGGGAUUAUGCUCAGACCGGUCUGACUUCUCAUUUUGGAUUUAUGGUUAAAUGGGUGUAACGGUCCAGUUAGAUAAGUGAGAGGUGGCAAUAUAUUUUUUUUUCAUCUCCCAAAUGACGGAAAGGUUGUUUUGCUGCUUUUUCCAUGCCGCCGGUGGGAGCUUCCUACUUGAUAAUUUGAAGCUUCGUGGUUGGGUUCUAUUUUCGGUUUCUUGGGGCUCGUCUGGAGGAAGUUGGGGGAGCCGUAAGAUUUGAGGGUGGCCCGAACAUCGGUAGCUCGUGGCAACUAGCUAGUAGUCGGUGCUUAUAAGGUUCUGGUUUAUAGGUCUGUCCAUGUUACGAUGUGGUCACGUUGCUUUAAGUCUGCUACCUAGUUGUUUAAUUUUCUGUAGUUUUGUUGUGGUGUUUUUCUUUUUCUGCUAUGGUUACUGUUUAUAUUUUUGUACUUUUUCCGCUACUAGUUAGGCUUUGUCAUUUCUGUCAAAACUGAAAAUGGUAAUAAAUUUUAACAUGUUUACCGAAAAAAGAAGUUCAUUUCA
rnacentral:lncRNA from 1 species